GAUACCCGCUGAACUUAAGCAUAUCAAUAAGCGGAGGAAAAGAAACCAACAGGGAUUGCCCUAGUAACGGCGAGUGAAGCGGCAACAGCUCAAAUUUGAAAUCUGGCUCUUUUAGAGUCCGAGUUGUAAUUUGCAGAGGGCGCUUUGGCUUUGGCAGCGGUCCAAGUUCCUUGGAACAGGACGUCACAGAGGGUGAGAAUCCCGUACGUGGUCGCUGGCUAUUGCCGUGUAAAGCCCCUUCGACGAGUCGAGUUGUUUGGGAAUGCAGCUCUAAAUGGGAGGUACAUUUCUUCUAAAGCUAAAUAUUGGCCAGAGACCGAUAGCGCACAAGUAGAGUGAUCGAAAGAUGAAAAGCACUUUGGAAAGAGAGUCAAACAGCACGUGAAAUUGUUGAAAGGGAAGCGCUUGCAGCCAGACUUGCUUACAGUUGCUCAUCCGGGUUUCUACCCGGUGCACUCUUCUGUAGGCAGGCCAGCAUCAGUUUGGGCGGUAGGAUAAAGGUCUCUGUCACGUACCUCCUUUCGGGGAGGCCUUAUAGGGGAGACGACAUACUACCAGCCUGGACUGAGGUCCGCGCAUCUGCUAGGAUGCUGGCGUAAUGGCUGUAAGCGGCCCGUCUUGAAACACGGACCAAGGAGUCUAACAUCUAUGCGAGUGUUUGGGUGUCAAGCCCGAGCGCGUAAUGAAAGUGAACGGAGGUGGGAACCCGCAAGGGUGCACCAUCGACCGAUCCUGAUGUCUUCGGAAGGAUUUGAGUAAGAGCAUGGCUGUUGGGACCCGAAAGAUGGUGAACUAUGCUUGAAUAGGGUGAAGCCAGAGGAAACUCUGGUGGAGGCUCGCAGCGGUUCUGACGUGCAAAUCGAUCGUCAAAUUUGGGCAUAGGGGCGAAAGACUAAUCGAACUAUCUAGUAGCUGGUUCCUGCCGA
rnacentral:rRNA from 1 species